GACGAACGCUGGCGGCGUGCCUAAUACAUGCAAGUAGAACGCUGAAGGAGGAGCUUGCUCUUCUGGAUGAGUUGCGAACGGGUGAGUAACGCGUAGGUAACCUGCCUGGUAGCGGGGGAUAACUAUUGGAAACGAUAGCUAAUACCGCAUAAGAGUAGAUGUUGCAUGACAUUUACUUAAAAGGUGCAAUUGCCUCACUACCAGAUGGACCUGCGUUGUAUUAGCUAGUUGGUGGGGUAACGGCUUACCAAGGCGACGAUACAUAGCCGACCUGAGAGGGUGAUCGGCCACACUGGGACGGAGACACGGCCCAGACUCCUACGGGAGGCAGCAGUAGGGAAGCUUCGGCAAUGGACGGAAGUCUGACCGAGCAACGCCGCGUGAGUGAAGAAGGUUUUCGGAUCGUAAAGCUCGGUUGUAAGAGAAGAACGAGUGUGAGAGUGGAAAGUUCACACUGUGACGGUAGCUUACCAGAAAGGGACGGCUAACUACGUG
rnacentral:rRNA from 1 species